GAUGAACGCUGGCGGCGUGCCUAAUACAUGCAAGUCGAGCGAACAGACGAGGAGCUUGCUCCUCUGACGUUAGCGGCGGACGGGUGAGUAACACGUGGAUAACCUACCUAUAAGACUGGGAUAACUUCGGGAAACCGGAGCUAAUACCGGAUAAUAUAUUGAACCGCAUGGUUCAAUAGUGAAAGACGGUUUUGCUGUCACUUAUAGAUGGAUCCGCGCCGCAUUAGCUAGUUGGUAAGGUAACGGCUUACCAAGGCGACGAUGCGUAGCCGACCUGAGAGGGUGAUCGGCCACACUGGAACUGAGACACGGUCCAGACUCCUACGGGAGGCAGCAGUAGGGAAUCUUCCGCAAUGGGCGAAAGCUUGACGGAGCAACGCCGCGUGAGUGAUGAAGGUCUUCGGAUCGUAAAACUCUGUCAUUAGGGAAGAACAAAUGUGUAAGUAACUAUGCACGUCUUGACGGUACCUAAUCAGAAAGCCACGGCUAACUACGU
rnacentral:rRNA from 1 species